rnacentral:rRNA from 1 species
GACGAACGCUGGCGGCGUGCUUAACACAUGCAAGUCGAGCGGUAAGGCCCUUUCGGGGGUACACGAGCGGCGAACGGGUGAGUAACACGUGGGUGACCUGCCCUCAGCUCUGGGAUAAGCCUGGGAAACCGGGUCUAAUACUGGAUAUGACUCCAUGACGCAUGUUGUGGGGUGGAAAGCCUUGUGCGGCUGAGGAUGGGCCCGCGGCCUAUCAGCUUGUUGGUGGGGUGANGGCCUACCAAGGCGACGACGGGUAGCCGGCCUGAGAGGGCGACCGGCCACACUGGGACUGAGACACGGCCCAGACUCCUACGGGAGGCAGCAGUGGGGAAUCUUGCGCAAUGGGCGAAAGCCUGACGCAGCGACGCCGCGUGGGGAUGAC